rnacentral:tRNA from 1 species
AUUUAGGUGGCAGAAAGGAGGCAUUAGAUUGUAAAUCUAACAAUGAAAUUUAUUUCCCUAUAUA